GCCUAGUAGCGUAGUGGUUAUCGCUCCGCACGCACAUACUGAUGUGCCCAUAGAGGUACUAGAAACAGCAUAAUUGUCCGGAAGCCCCGUUCGAUUCGGGGACUAGGCA